rnacentral:rRNA from 1 species
UACGGAGGGUGCGAGCGUUGUCCGGAAUCAUUGGGCGUAAAGGGCGCGUAGGUGGCGCGGUAAGCGUGCGGUGAAAGCUCGGGGCUCAACCCCGAGUCGGCCGUGCGAACUGCCGGGCUUGAGCACUGUAGAGGCAGGCGGAAUUCCGGGUGUAGCGGUGGAAUGCGUAGAGAUCCGGAAGAACACCGGUGGCGAAGGCGGCCUGCUGGGCAGUAGCUGACACUGAGGCGCGACAGCGUGGGGAGCAAACAGG